UAUUCGGUUGGUGCAAAAGUAAUUGCAGUUUUUGGUUUUGCUUUCAAUGGCAAAAACUGUAAUUCUUUUUGCACCAACCUA
rnacentral:miRNA from 1 species